UACGAAGGGUGCAAACGUUGCUCGGAAUUACUGGGCGUAAAGAGCGCGUAGGCGGCGCGGUACGACCGCUGUGAAAGCCCCCAGCUCAACUGGGGAGGGUCAGCGGUAACGGCCGUGCUAUGAGUGCAGGAGAGGGAAGUGGAACUCCGGGAGUAGCGGUGAAAUGCGUAGAGACCCGGAGGAACACCAGUGGCGAAGGCGGCUUCCUGGUCUGCGACUGACGCUGUGGCGCGAAAGCUAGGGGAGCAAACGGG
rnacentral:rRNA from 1 species